rnacentral:rRNA from 1 species
ACUCCUACGGGAGGCAGCAGUGGGGAAUAUUGCACAAUGGGCGCAAGCCUGAUGCAGCAACGCCGCGUGAGGGACGAAGGCCUUCGGGUUGUAAACCUCUUUUAGUAGGGAAGAAGCGAAAGUGACGGUACCUGCAGAAAAAGCACCGGCUAACUACGUGCCAGCAGCCGCGGUGAUACGUAGGGUGCAAGCGUUAUCCGGAAUUAUUGGGCGUAAAGAGCUCGUAGGCGGUUUGUCGCGUCUGCUGUGAAAACUGGAGGCUCAACCUCCAGCCUGCAGUGGGUACGGGCAGACUAGAGUGCGGUAGGGGAGAUUGGAAUUCCUGGUGUAGCGGUGGAAUGCGCAGAUAUCAGGAGGAACACCGAUGGCGAAGGCAGAUCUCUGGGCCGUAACUGACGCUGAGGAGCGAAAGCAUGGGGAGCGAACAGGAUUAGAUACCCUGGUAGUCCAUGCCGUAAACGUUGGGAACUAGAUGUAGGGACCAUUCCACGGUUUCUGUGUCGCAGCUAACGCAUUAAGUUCCCCGCCUGGGGAGUACGGCCGCAAGGCUAAAACUCAAAGGAAUUGACGGGGGCCCGCACAAGCGGCGGAGCAUGCGGAUUAAUUCGAUGCAACGCGAAGAACCUUACCAAGGCUUGACAUAUACGAGAACGGGCCAGAAAUGGUCAACUCUUUGGACACUCGUAAACAGGUGGUGCAUGGUUGUCGUCAGCUCGUGUCG